rnacentral:rRNA from 1 species
AGUGAACGCUGGCGGUAGGCCUAACACAUGCAAGUCGGACGGCAGCACAGUAAGAGCUUGCUCUUACGGGUGGCGAGUGGCGGACGGGUGAGGAAUACAUCGGAAUCUACUUUUUCGUGGGGGAUAACGUAGGGAAACUUACGCUAAUACCGCAUACGACCUACGGGUGAAAGCAGGGGAUCUUCGGACCUUGCGCGAUUGAAUGAGCCGAUGUCGGAUUAGCUAGUUGGCGGGGUAAAGGCCCACCAAGGCGACGAUCCGUAGCUGGUCUGAGAGGAUGAUCAGCCACACUGGAACUGAGACACGGUCCAGACUCCUACGGGAGGCAGCAGUGGGGAAUAUUGGACAAUGGGCGCAAGCCUGAUCCAGCCAUACCGCGUGGGUGAAGAAGGCCUUCGGGUUGUAAAGCCCUUUUGUUGGGAAAGAACAGCAGCAGGUUAAUACCCCGCUGUUCUGACGGUACCCAAAGAAUAAGCACCGGCUAACUUCGUG